AGUCUCUUCCUGACUAGUAAUGGAGGAGGACUGGCUCCUGAGCUAGGGAGCAAGCACGCACCUUGGCCAGAGCAGUGCUGGGCAGGUUUGUGGGGGAGCAGAGGAGUGCUCCAGCCUAGUUAUCUGUGGCUGUGGCCCCUGUUAAGAAGGUGCAAGUGGCCAAAGGGGAAGUGGCCCGGGGAUGAUAGUCUGACAAGGGGAGAGCAGGAGGGCAGAGAGGCUGCCGCUAGAGGGUCCCUGGGUUGGGACACAGAGUAGCAGGUGGGCCUGGGUCUCCCCCUUGUACUGCACGGGGCUACGGAGGAGCAUGGCCUGAUGCAGGCUGUGGCCGGCCCUGAGGCAAAGGGGCUAGGCUUUAGGCCACAGUUGGCCACAAGGGCAAGUGCAGACUGAAGACUGCCCCCACCCACCGCGGAAGGGGGUGAAACUGGAAUAGUGGGCACUACUGGAGGGCAGUGCCCUGAAAAGGACAUCGCUGAGUUGGGAGUAAUGCGUGUCCCAAGGCAGCAGAGCAGGCGAUGGGAAAGACACCAUGCGCAGAGAGUGCUCCAUGACUGGACAGAACUAAUUCCUGGAGCAACCAGUGGGAGACACCAGUGGUGGCAUUGCUUCUGAUCAGUGACUUUCUGAGCUGGCCUGAAUUGGAUAGGACUUUAUUUUGUGAAAUCCAGUGGCGAAUUUUCCUCUUCACCACAACUGGUGAGACUCCUAAAGAUAAAGAACUUAAGAUCAGAAUGAAAAACGGUUCUCAUUUGGGCAUGGAAGCCCAAGCUGAUGUUGGGAACAGCUGCCCUGUGAAAGAUCAUAAAAACACUUGCUGGAGUAUCUCAACAAAACAAUUAGCUGUGCAUUCCUUGGGCCAGACCUACAUGGUACUAUGUACAGUAAGCUGCAGAAAAGGGCAUUUGGAAAUAUUCACAGUUUCGGUCUCUGAAAGCUACAUGCCCUAUUGGGGAGCAUCACCAUUUCCGGGGAGUCGCAUACAGUAAUGGAAGUAGAACCUGGAGGCAAAUCCAGCAGCUGAUACCUUUCAGCACCUGCUCAAGCCUCUUAUUUGCUGCAAUUCUUGGGAAACACCAGAAGACACAUGUUCAGCGCAAUUCCUUGGUAACAAAAUAGUAAAUGUUAAACUGUCAGAAGGCAAUUUUAGUUGUGCAAAUUUGCUUGUCUCUUAUUGAAAAGUACCUUUGGCCUAGCAGUGAAGAAGAUUCUAGCUGGCAGAAGUGACUAAGGUCUUAAUCCUGCUAUUCAAGUGCUUAAAAUUCAGCACAUGCAUAAAUGUCUAGAGUCUGAGCCUAGCCAAUUCUGACUAUAUCAGAAACUCUCCAAUAAAAGGCUCCACUCCAAGUUAGAUAAUGUAGUAGCUAUCCAUUUUCAGGUUGCCUACUGUUGUAUCUGAGUACUUUCCAUGUAAAAUCCAACAGCCAAGUCUCUGUGGGUCUUCAGAGACUCUGGAGUGUCUUCCUUUUUGGGGUAUUGCUAGAGCCUCUGUGAAUCCAGUUGGGAGUGGGAGGAGGAGGCAUACAUUUAUAAUUUAUUUUAUCUUUUGUUUUGAGUGAUGGUUUAAUUGUAUAUUUAAAUUAUUUUAUUUGCUCACCGAGCAUUUCAGUAAGGGAUGAAGCCUGCUGCAAAGAUCAGAUCCCAGUCCAAUUUUACUUUGGGUCUAUCUCUAGCCUCCCCCUCCUAGAAAGUACAGUACUGCCACUAGCUGUAGGACCACCCUCUCUGGCCCUGCAUGUAAUUAGUACGAAGCCUAAUUAUAGUUUAGAAGUUAAUUAAAAUACUCUGGAAAGGAAAACAAAACUGCACAUUGUCAUCUUAGGACAAAGAUUGUAUAAGGGAAAACCUUCCAUUAGAGAAAGUACAGAACAGAACUAUUGAUGAAUGAUCUGGAAUACAGCAAACAAGUAAUAAAGCAUUUCAAAUACAAACAGAAUAUUGGUAAUUAAGUGUGAUACUGAAUAAGAGGCAGUUUUUGAAGAAGACAUCCUGCUCAUGAGAACAGGAGAUGAUUGAGAGGUCUUCUAUCUGCCAUCCUGCUUCCUUUCUACUGCAGCUCUCUAACCCACAACAGUAAGGAGAAGCUGGAUAGGUAUAUGGAUAUGUUCAAUAUAAUACAAAAUGCUUAAGGCCCUGAUUAAGCAAAGCAUUAGAGUUGUUGAAUGCAUGAGCAGUCCCACUCGCAUGCUUACAGUUAAAUACUUUUCCUGAGCUGGAGCUUUGAUCCUUUGGAUGAAAGUGAAUUUGGAUUGUUGUAACACACACAGGGUGAAAAGGGAAAAGGUUAGUGGAUAUCUAGCUACUCCUGAGAAAUCUGUAAUGACAUAGAAUAUGCAUAUAUACAUUUUGGAAGCUACUGUUGACCAUACCAGUAUAGCAAUCAAUCACUAAAUACAACUGUAAAUAUUGCCAGUCUUAUGGCGUGAGCAGCUAAACUGGGAAGGCCAGCAUAGCAGACCUCCAUUACU